AUGGGAACAGACGCGAGAGGAUAAGUGGUGGGGAACAGACGUGAAAGGAUAAGGUUAGCUGAGAUAUUUUUUAAGAAGAGCGGUGCGGACUGCAUCGUACGAUCACACUUCAUCGCGACUGGCGCAAAAGCUUGGCCCGUCUGCCGGCGUAAAACGUUGCCCUAUGUCUUAUCCUUUUCCCCCACCGCCCAUUCUACAUCCCACCCAUCUCUCUCCUAGGGGCACACUCAGGAGAGCGACCAUACGGCGGUGAUGUCGGAGAGGAGGCAGGUGGCGGCGGAGACCAGGAAAGUAGUUCACUGUCUCGCAGCUCCACUGGGACCAACGUCGUGGUGUCGAGCGGCGAAGACGAGCGGGCUGUGCCGUCUCCGAGGGCGGGCAGAGAACUCGACGACGAGGGCGUCGAGCUUGAGCCAGGCGAGCGGAGGCGGCGCUACGUGCGGCGGGCGGUGAACUCGGCGACGAGAGCAUCGAGCUUGAGUCAGGCGAGCGGAGGCGGCGCUGCGCGCGGCGGGCGGCGAACUCGGCGACGAGGGCAUGUACGCCUCCGGCUUGUGCACCAGCAGCUGCUUUGAAAGGAGGCGCGGGUCAACGAAGCGCUGGCGAGGGUGGCCAAUUCACAGGAUCGCACGGAGAAGGUUGGGGGUCUGAAGGUUUAAGAUGAUGAGCUCGACGUUGCUAUCGUUGGUGGAGGCAUGGUGGGCUUGGCUGUUUGCUUGUGUAGUGUGUAAGUAUUGAUCCCUUCGUGUACUUCUCUUCCUUCGAUUAAAUUGUUCAUGAGGUCAGCUUAGUGUUACGCUUAGGCUGAGAAUCGAUCCCAGCAUUAGUUAUAAAAAGGAAACUUGGCACUAUUGUAAUAAAGUUCUCGGAGAUUCUUCCAGCCAUUUUUACUAGUUCAGUAUGAAGUAUUACUAAUAAUAUUGGUAGAAUGCUAGUUGCAGAGGAGUUUGGUGGCUGUAUAUGGAAACCCCCACUACAAUUUUUCCAUUUUUAUAUGCUUUUAGCAAGAACAAAA